CUCCAGAAUACUUAGUGCUUUCUGGGAGCUGGAGUCUGCCAGGAGGAUUUUGCAUAUGCAGAUGCAUGCAGCACUUGUGCUGCAGAGCCAGCAUUUCUUGGAAGCAUCCAACUACUCUCUCUACUUUUGUACAAGCUGAGAUGGCAAACUGUCCCGGAUCUAUGUGAUGAUACCAGGUAUCUGGCAGCCAAGAAGAUAUUACUGCUCCAACACAGCCACUGUAGGUUUCAAUAAAUAAUUGAAAACUUCAAAGCCUUCCUGGAAAAGAAGUCAAGUCUUGGGAAACUCAGAUGCAUGACGACACUACUUGGGAAAGGAAGAAAUCCUAUACUGAAAGGCUGCUACCAGAUCACCUGAGAACCCUCUCUUCUCCAGCCUGAACAGUCCCACUUCUCUCAGCCCGUCUUUGUAGGAGAGGUGUUCCAUUCCAUGGAAGACUUUUAUGACCCUCCUCUGGAUGUGCUCCAUCAGGUCUAUGUUUCUCCUAUGCUGUGGACUCAACAUACUCCAGCUUCACCAUUGUUUCUGGAUAAUACAGAUGGUAGUAGAAGACUAUGUGCAGCCCUGCUGCCAGAUGAGUCACUCAAAGAGCAUCUGUGGAGGAGAAACGUGAAGAUUAAUACUGUGUCUUCUUCACACCAAAUGAUGGAGAAAAUGUAGCUUCACCAGCAUCUCUGCUAUCAAAAUUGAUGUGACCUGUUUGAGAGACAAAGAGCAAGUCAGAUCAACAUGACUACUGCUAAGCGAACCUUGCAGUGUGGCUUGAAAUCAGUUUCUGUGUUUGGUAGUCUCAAUUUUUCAUCGUUUGGUAAGGCCUAAGGAGACGGUGCUAAGCUCAGGAGAUGGUACCAAGUACUCAAUUUCUGAAACUCCAUUUAGUUCCAUCUAGGUCUCUAAGUUCUAUGCUCUGCUUGUUAACAAGUAUGUGGAAUAAAUACCCAAGUUAUUUAUUGCAGAACAUUGUUGCUAGAUGUAAGCAUACCAAGGCAAACAUGCACCUUAUGCCAUCCUUUAGCAGUUAACAGACGACUGUGGCCUUGCAUUAUCCAAGGCUACUGUCACUUAAGGAUUAGGGAUGUUGAGCUUCUCUCCUGUCAAACUUGUGCUUGGGCAGAGUUUCUGGAGGACAGGACUGGUGAUUUUCUAGCUUGACAUAUUUACACUGGCAAUAAAAUAUCUUACCACACAGAACAGAGCAAGGAAUCAUACAUAAAAUUCAGCAAAGCUCCAUUUGAGUUUAAUAGGGCUUAAUUUCUGGUUCUGGCUUUAUCACAUAUAUUGGAAAUGAUUUAUAGGAGGAAUUAUUUUGGUAGCAAAAUAAUGAACAUAAAAAUUUCAUUCUCCAUCUCAAAAGUAUCUGCAUCUCCAUAGUAGCGCUAUAAAAGAAUGAUGAGAAAUAGGGCUCAGUUAUGCAAGUGAUAAAUUCAGUCAGAGAUUUAAGAAGUGUGUCUGCUGACUAAGGUUUUAAAUCAUGUUAAAAACUGUGUACAUAACAUUGCCAAAAAUUAGACCAUCUCAUAAGCCCUACUUUGACAUUUUUCACUCAAUAUAAUAAUCUUAUCUUUAGACUCCAGUUAUCAGUUAGAGAUAUUCUACACAAAUGGAUACAAUUUAGAGAAGUAAACACAAUGACUGUAUGCUGGAAAAAUACCUACACUGAGCUGGAUACUUAGUAUUUUAAGAAAGCAAAUAGUUGUAUUUUGAAGAUAAAUGUUACUUAUUUUAGAUAUAAAACCAUACUAAUAGCACUAACUGUACUUGAAAUAAAAACAUUCUGACAACAAUAUUUUAUAUACAGACAUUUUGCUACAGAAAAGUAUGAAUUCUCAAGAAUAUUAUGCUUGUUCUUUACCUUACUCAGGUUUGUUUAAUAAAGGUAAUUAAGAAAUAAAUGAGAAAGACUGACGUAAAUUUGUAAUACAAAUAUUCUGUCUUUACAUAAUCAAAGCAAUUAGAUGUGUUCUAAGAUCAGAAUCUUAGAACUGAUGAUUGGCAAAACUUGGGCUAUGUAUAGGUAUAUGGUGCCAAAACUUGACCUAGGUCUCACACAAAACACCAACAUCUAUUGUGUAAAUGUAACAUGAACCAAAAUAUCCAGUCUGUCUAAUGAUAAAUGCUGCAGUUUAAAAAACCAGAUCCAAAUUAUUCAGGCCAUUUUC